rnacentral:rRNA from 1 species
GAUGAACGCUGGCGGCGUGCUUAACACAUGCAAGUCGAACGGUGAAGCAGGAGCUUGCUCUUGUGGAUCAGUGGCGAACGGGUGAGUAACACGUGAGCAACCUGCCCCUGACUCUGGGAUAAGCGCUGGAAACGGCGCCUAAUCCUGGAUAUGUGAUGUGACCGCAUGCUCUGCAUCUGGAAAGAAUUUCGGUUGGGGAUGGGCUCGCGGCCUAUCAGCUUGUUGGUGAGGUAAUGGCUCAGCAAGGCGUCGACGGGUAGCCGGCCUGAGAGGGUGACCGGCCACACUGGGACUGAGACACGGCCCAGACUCCUACGGGAGGCAGCAGUGGGGAAUAUUGCACAAUGGGCGGAAGCCUGAUGCAGCAACGCCGCGUGAGGGAUGACGGCCUUCGGGUUGUAAACCUCUUUUAGCAGAGAAGAAGCGAAAGUGACGGUACCUGCAGAAAAAGCACCGGCUAACUACGUGCCAGCAGCCGCAGUAA